UUCCGCCUCUCUGGAUGAUGGCGGCGAGUCGUGGUGCUGGUGUGUUCCGUCGGGAACCAUCCAUCGCAAUCCGCCUUCCUCGGGCCACUGCCGGUGAUCGGCUCUGCUGCAUCAGCGCCCCGUGGGCACSGUGCCCGGCGGCGGCGCUUCGGUGCCAGCUCCGAUGGCUGUGAAGGGCAGCGCGGCCUUUCUGCCGCCUUCCUCGCCAGGCCCCGGCCCCAGCUCAAGACUCUACUUCACCAGUAGCGUCCUGGCAUAGAACGGUAUCCUGGAGCCUGGGAUGGCUGAUGAGAGCCUCAGCUUUGUGCAGGGGUCCUGAGUUUUCCAGAGCUCGCCCACCUAUCUACUGGAUAAACUGAGGAAUUACUCAGUGGAAAAAGGUGAGAACCUGGGAGCCCUGUCCCAAGGGAUUCCACUUGCUUCCCACAGGGCCUCAGUUGUGGGGAARCUGCAGUGUGGAGCACGUCUGAGCAGUGGRUGGAGCCAAGGUGAGCAAUCCCUGAGGGACUUGGUACUGCAGUACCAGAAGAACAGUGUUCCAUGAAGUUUCUCAGGACAGGAAUAUCAAAUACUUGGGUAGAGCAGGGAGCCAAUAAUGCUAAGGUGGUGGGUUUGUUCCUGUACAGGCCAUUCAUUUAAGAGGUGGACUCAGUGAYCCCUGUAGGUCCCUUCCAACUUGAAAUAUUCUGUGUGUGUGAUAUGAGUUUGAAUAAAUGCAAUUGCUUCAAAUUCUUGUGUCUCUCA